UAGAGCUUCCAUUUACUCCCUCUACUGUUUCACAGAUCUCCUUUCUUGUCAGUCUUUCAGAGAAGGCAAGGGACCAUUAGAAGGACACUGCUUCAAAAAGGAUUUGGCCAAGAGGAAGCUGGUCGAGGUUAACAAGAUUAAAGGAUGAGGUCCGACUUCUAGUUAAGAAAGUUUUGGAGGGAAAAGAAAGAAAUCUGCUCACCAUUAAUGAUAAUGAAUUAAGAGGGAAAAAGGAUCAGCCUACCAUCAUGAGCAACAGAAAAGCAGGAAGACUGUGUCCAGAUGAAUCAAUGUUGUAUCACUGCUGAAUAUGUUUUCCAAGCUCUAAAUUCCCUUUCCUAAGCAU